GACGGCCUGUGGGGUUGUAAACCGCUUUUCUCAGGGAAGAAGAUCUGACGGUACCUGAGGAAUCAGCAUCGGCUAACUCCGUGCCAGCAGCCGCGGUAAUACGGAGGAUGCAAGCGUUAUCCGGAAUUAUUGGGCGUAAAGCGUCCGCAGGCGGCUUAUCAAGUCUGCUGUUAAAUGUCGGGGCUCAACUCCGAUUUGGCAGUGGAAACUGAUAGGCUAGAGUACGGUAGGGGUAGAGGGAAUUCCCAGUGUAGCGGUGAAAUGCGUAGAUAUUGGGAAGAACACCAGUGGCGAAGGCGCUCUACUGGGCCGUAACUGACGCUGAGGGACGAAAGCUAGGGGAGCGAAAGGGAUUAGAUACCCCUGUAGUCCUAGCUGUAAACGAUGGACACUAGGUGUUGGCCGUAUCGACCCGGUCAGUAUCGUAGCUAACGCGUUAAGUGUCCCGCCUGGGGAGUACGCACGCAAGUGUGAAACUCAAAGGAAUUGACGGGGGCCCGCACAAGCGGUGGAGUAUGUGGUUUAAUUCGAUGCAACGCGAAGAACCUUACCAGGGUUUGACAUCCCGCGAAUCUUGAUGAAAGUUGAGAGUGCCUUCGGGAGCGCGGAGACAGGUGGUGCAUGGCUGUCGUCAGCUCGUGUCGUGAGAUGUUGGGUUAAGUCCCGCAACGAGCGCAACCCUCGUUUUUAGUUGCCAUCAUUAAGUUGGGCACUUCUAGAGAGACUGCCGGGGACAACUCGGAGGAAGGUGGGGAUGACGUCAAGUCAUCAUGCCCCUUACAUCCUGGGCUACACACGUACUACAAUGCUACGGACAAAGGGCAGCAAGGUCGCGAGAGCAAGCUAAUCUCAUAAACCGUGGCUCAGUUCAGAUCGCAGGCUGCAACUCGCCUGCGUGAAGGAGGGAAUCGCCUAGUAUUCGCACU
rnacentral:rRNA from 1 species